rnacentral:lncRNA from 1 species
GAAAAUGGUGACGAAGGAAGAGAAAACGAUGAUGGAAGAAGCGGCUGUGAGGGGAGAGAUCCAUCGUACUGUAAGGAUGCUUUGAUUUGACGAAGGAAGGUAACAACCUAGGGUAAAGGAAGAGGAGCAACAAAUCAAUGGUUUGGCCCAAUGCAGUAGAUGUGAACCGAUUUGAUUCAAGCAAAGAAAGAGGGGAAUCUAGUUUUGUUUGAGCAAAGAAAAAGAAAAAUAUGUGGAGGACUUGAGCCGGUUUGGAGUGGAGUCCACACUCCACAAUGAUCGGUUUAAAUAAAGAAAGAUGGAAACAUGUGGAGUAGUUAGGCCUAUUCGGCCCAAUGCAGCAAGUGCGACCUGAUUCAGUUCAAGCGAAGAAAGAGAAAAAUCCAAUUCGAUUCAAGGAAAGAAAGAGGAAAACAUGCAAAGGACUUGAGUGGGUUUGAGGUGGAGCCAACACUUAACAAUGAAGUAAAUGCUGCCUUGUAGCAAAUUUAUGAAAAAUAAUAUAUAGAUAUUGAUAUUGAUAUUGAUUGAUAUUGAUAUAAAUUGUAAUUUAGUAUCAUUAAAGAAAAUUUUAAUUUAUCAAAAAAGUAGCUAUU